GGCCAUCCAGAUCCUGAAUGGAAUACUGAUUCUAGCUCUGGGUAUUUUUUUGGUUUGUUUAAAACAGUUGUCCCACCACUUCAUCAAUUUCUUCUUCUUCACCUUCUACACAGGCUACCCACUCUGGGGUGCUGUGUUUUUCAUCACCUCAGGAUCUUUGAGUGUUGCAGCAGGGAGAAGCCCCACAAGAACGCUGAUGCAAAACAGUUUUGGGAUGAACAUUGCCAGCACGAUGAUUGCAUUUGUUGGGACUGCUUUCCUUUCUGUACAUUUGGCACUCAAUACCCUGGCUUUCAGAGCUUGCCGGUCUUCACAGUCACCUGAUAUUUGCAUUUUCCUGGGUUCCUCAUCAAAUGGCCUGGUGUCUUUAAUGCUGAUUUUCACCCUGCUGGAGCUGGCCCUGACCAUUUCGCUCUCAGUCAUGUGGUGCCUAGGAAAUGUUUGUGGUUUAAGAGAGGAGAUCAGUUCUUCACCUCCUAAUUCUGUGGAGUCAGGAAUACCCCCUGAAGAAAGCGAUUCUGAGAACCUGAUCACCCAGCCUCAAACCAUCGAAGAGUGAGAAUUUCAUUGAGAACUCAGGAGGGCAUAAACAGAUGAAAUACAGUCCUUCUGUCGUGGAAAUAUUCACAAGAAAGCUGGCAUCUGUCCCAAUUCUCCCCAUCCUCCCUGUAAAUCCACUAGCACGGUCUAGAUCUAGAAGAAUAAAUACAUUUCCUUAGGUGUUCUUGG
rnacentral:lncRNA from 1 species